GGAUCAUUACCGAGAGACGGGGUCUAACC
rnacentral:rRNA from 1 species